rnacentral:sRNA from 1 species
GUGGGCACCGUCAUGACUUUGUUCUACUCCAAGAAGUCGCAGCGACCCGAGCGGAAGACCUUCCAGGUCAAGCUGGAGACGCGCCAGAUCACGUGGAGCCGGGGCGCCGACAAGAUCGAGGGGGCUAUUGACAUUCGUGAAAUUAAGGAGAUCCGCCCAGGGAAGACCUCACGGGACUUUGAUCGCUAUCAAGAGGACCCAGCUUUCCGGCCGGACCAGUCACAUUGCUUUGUCAUUCUCUAUGGAAUGGAAUUUCGCCUGAAAACGCUGAGCCUGCAAGCCACAUCUGAGGAUGAAGUGAACAUGUGGAUCAAGGGCUUAACUUGGCUGAUGGAGGAUACAUUGCAGGCACCCACACCCCUGCAGAUUGAGAGGUGGCUCCGGAAGCAGUUUUACUCAGUGGAUCGGAAUCGUGAGGAUCGCCCCAGGUGGGCUCGACCCACAGGUCAGAGGUCAUGAGAAGCUGGAUGAGACCACUGGGGAUGUCCCUGUUUUCUCAGUAUAUCAGCCAAGGACCUGAAGAACAUGCUGUCCCAGGUCAACUACCGGGUCCCCAACAUGCGCUUCCUCCGAGAGCGGCUGACGGACCUG